rnacentral:rRNA from 1 species
AGCGAACGCUGGCGGCAGGCCUAACACAUGCAAGUCGAGCGGACAGAUGGGAGCUUGCUCCCUGAUGUUAGCGGCGGACGGGUGAGUAACACGUGGGUAACCUGCCUGUAAGACUGGGAUAACUCCGGGAAACCGGGGCUAAUACCGGAUGGUUGUUUGAACCGCAUGGUUCAAACAUAAAAGGUGGCUUCGGCUACCACUUACAGAUGGACCCGCGGCGCAUUAGCUAGUUGGUGAGGUAACGGCUCACCAAGGCAACGAUGCGUAGCCGACCUGAGAGGGUGAUCGGCCACACUGGGACUGAGACACGGCCCAGACUCCUACGGGAGGCAGCAGUAGGGAAUCUUCCGCAAUGGACGAAAGUCUGACGGAGCAACGCCGCGUGAGUGAUGAAGGUUUUCGGAUCGUAAAGCUCUGUUGUUAGGGAAGAACAAGUACCGUUCGAAUAGGGCGGUACCUUGACGGUACCUAACCAGAAAGCCACGGCUAACUACGUGCCAGCCGCCGCGGUAAAAC